CCUACGGGAGGCAGCAGUGGGGAAUAUUGCACAAUGGGGGGAACCCUGAUGCAGCAACGCCGCGUGGGUGAAGAAGUACUCCGGUAUGUAAAGCCCUGUCAGCAGGGAAGAAAAUGACGGUACCUGAGUAAGAAGCCCCGGCUAACUACGUGCCAGCAGCCGCGGUAAUACGUAGGGGGCAAGCGUUAUCCGGAUUUACUGGGUGUAAAGGGAGCGUAGACGGCAGUGCAAGUCUGGAGUGAAAGGCGGGGGCUCAACCCCCGGACUGCUCUGGAAACUGUACGGCUGGAGUGCAGGAGAGGUAAGUGGAACUCCUAGUGUAGCGGUGAAAUGCGUAGAUAUUAGGAGGAACACCAGUGGCGAAGGCGGCUUACUGGACUGUAACUGACGUUGAGGCUCGAAAGCGUGGGGAGCAAACAGGAUUAGAUACCCGGGUAGUC
rnacentral:rRNA from 1 species